rnacentral:lncRNA from 1 species
UUUGGAAUUAUUUGUGUUUAAUGACAUUUUCUGUUUUUCUCUUUUCAGUAAUACUGAACUUUGGCUUUUUAUGUUUCCUUGCUUUUUUACGCUUUUUGUUUUUUUUUUUUUCAUUUUUCAUACAUAAUUUUAUGCAAUACCCAGCAUAAUUUUCAAUUUUGAUUGUUAAAUUUUGAUGUAACCCAUUUCUGCAUACAUUGU